GACCGAGCAACGCCGCGUGAGUGAAGAAGGUUUUCGGAUCGUAAAGCUCUGUUGUAAGAGAAGAACGAGUGUGAGAGUGGAAAGUUCACACUGUGACGGUAUCUUACCAGAAAGGGACGGCUAACUACGUGCCAGCAGCCGCGGUAAUACGUAGGUCCCGAGCGUUGUCCGGAUUUAUUGGGCGUAAAGCGAGCGCAGGCGGUUAGAUAAGUCUGAAGUUAAAGGCUGUGGCUUAACCAUAGUACGCUUUGGAAACUGUAUAACUUGAGUGCAAGAGGGGAGAGUGGAAUUCCAUGUGUAGCGGUGAAAUGCGUAUAUAUAUGGAGGAACGCCGGUGGCGAAAGCGGCUCUCGGGCUUGUAACUG
rnacentral:rRNA from 1 species